UCAGGCCUGCCCAAUGAUGUAUUCAAUGGCUGCAGUAUUUUGACUGUACAAAGGUAGCAUAAUCAUUAGUUUUUUAAUUAAAAGCUAGAAUGAAUGGUUUAAUGAGAAAAAGACUGUCUUUAUUUAAUUUUUAAAAGAAUUUUAUUUUUGAGUUAAAAAGCUUAAAUUUUUUUAAAAGACGAGAAGACCCUAUAGAGUUUAAUAAUUAUUAAAUUUUUUAUGAUUAGGAAUUUUAUUAUUAAUUAAUUGAAAUAUUUAUUUUGUUGGGGUGAUAUAAAAAUUUAAUAAACUUUUUAUUAAUAUAAACAUAUUUAUAUGAGUAUUUGAUCCACUAUUUGUGAUUAUAAGAUUAAAUUACCUUAGGGAUAACAGCGUAAUUUUUUUGGAAAGUUCUUAUUAAUAAAAAAGUUUGCGACCUCGAUGUUGGAUUAAAAUUAACUGUUGGCGCAGUAGUUAACAAGUUAGGUCUGUUCGACCUUUAAAAUUUUACAUGAUCUGAGUUUAAACCGGUGUGAGCCAGGUUGGUUUCUAUCUUUAGAAAAUUAAAAUGUUUUAGUACGAAAGGACCAAACACUUAUAAUAUUUAUUUUUGUUGAAUAAAA
rnacentral:rRNA from 1 species